rnacentral:tRNA from 1 species
AGAAUUUUAAGUUAACUAAACUAAAAACCUUCAAAGUUUUAAAUAAGAAAAUAUUCUUAAAUUCUA